rnacentral:rRNA from 1 species
ACCCGCUGAACUUAAGCAUAUCAGUAAGCGGAGGAAAAGAAAUUAACAAAGAUUGCCUUAGUAGCGGCGAGUGAACAGGCAAGAGCUCAAACCGAAAAUCUGGAGUGUAGUGCUUCAGAAUUGUAGUCUAAAGAUGCAGGCAGAAGGCAUGGAGUAUGCAUAAGUUCCUUGGAACAGGACGUCAUAGAGGGUGAUAACCCCGUGUUCGGCAAUACUCCAGUUGUAUGUCUGAGUCGUAGAGUCGGGUUGUUUGGGACUGCAGCCCUAAAUGGGAGAUAUACUUCUUCUAAGGCUAAAUAUUUAUGGGAAACCGAUAGCAAACAAGUACUGUGAAGGAAAGAUGAAAAGAACUUUGAAAAGAGAGUUAAAAGACUUGAAAUCGUUGAGAAGUAAGCGGUAGAAAAAUAUUUAUUGGGGUGGACGUAAGGACGGAGAGUAUUAGCCUGCGUGUCGUGGAGCACUUUAAAGGCUUGCGGUGCGUAUGGUCAUGGUGCUCUCGCCGUUGUCUGCUUCAAUGGGCAAGAUGAGAUCAGCGUUGUCGGAUACACUGGGCGAGCAGACCCCAGCAAUGGGAGCUCGUCCAGAAUGCGGCAUCCUUGUUCUGAGGGGCUACGGCGAUCUUGCCGAAAUGGUUUCUACCGACCCGUCUUGAAACACGGACCAAGGAGUCUAACACAUGCGCGAGUGUGCGGGUGUUCAAACCCAUACGCUAAAUGAAAGUGAGUACAAGAUGCGAAGGGCAACCUGCAGCAUCGACCGGCCACGAACUUCUGUGAGAGGUCUGAGUAAGAGCGUAUUUGUUAGGACCCGAAAGAUGGUGAACUAUACUUGAGUAGGGUGAAGUCAGGGGAAACUCUGAUGGAAGCUCGUAGCGAUACUGACGUGCAAAUCGUUCGUCAAACUUGAGUAUAGGGGCGAAAGACUAAUCGAACCAUCUAGUAGCUGGUUCCCUCUGAAGUUUCUCUCAGGAUAGCUGGAACAAAAUGCAGUUUUAUUAGGUAAAGCGAAUGAUUAGAGGCCUCGGAGGUGCAACACCUUCGACCUAUUCUCAAACUUUAAAUUGGUAAGCACCAUCAGUUUUCUUAACUGAACUGGUGGGAUGAAUGCGUUGUUCUUAGUGGGCCAUUUUUGGUAAGCAGAACUGGCGAUGAGGGAUGAACCUAACGUCGAGUUAAGGUGCCAAAAUCCUCGCUCAUCAGAUACCACAAAAGGUGUUGAUUCAUAUAGACAGCAGGACGGUGGCCAUGGAAGUUGGAAUCCGCUAAGGAGUGUGUAACAACUCACCUGCCGAAUGAAUUAGCCCUGAAAAUGGAUGGCGCUCAAGCGAGGUACCGAUACUCGACCAUUAGCGCAAAUUGUGAGGCGUUAAUGAGUAAGAGGGCGUGGGUGUUGUGCCGAAGCCGUUGACGUGAGUCUAGGUGGAACAACAUCUAGUGCAGAUCUUGGUGGUAGUAGCAAAUAUUCAAAUGAGAACUUUGAAGACCGAAGUGGAGAAGGGUUCCAUGAGAACUGCAUUUGGUCAUGGGUUACACGAUCCUAAGACAUAGGGAAACUCCUCUAGACACGUCGUGCUUGCACGCGAUGUCAAAAGGGAAUGAGGUUAAUAUUCCUCAUGCUGGAUGUGGAUACUAUAUGGCAACAUAAGUGAGCUCAGAAACGUCGGCACGUACCCCUGGAAGAGUUCUCUUUUCUUUUUAACAGGUUCAAGCCUUGAAAUUGGAUUAUCCAGAGCUAAGGCCGGAUACCUGGCAGAGCAUCUCACUAUAUGAGGUGUCAGGUGCGUUCGUGACGACCCUUGAAAAUCUGAGUGAGAGAUUUAUUUGCACACCAGAUCGUACCAAUAACCGCAUCAGGUU